ACGCUGCGCUGGCCACACUUUCCGCCCUCGAGGCCGGGAGUUCCGGCUUCCAGCCAGUGCCCCCGGCGUAGCCGCGCCCUGUCCUGCACGACAUCCCGGAGCCUGGACCUGAGGCGAACUCCCGUGCCCACCCCAAUCCAGGACACGCUUGGCAGGGCGCUUGGCCUUUGUUAAUGUAUCUGACCCCGAGCCACCCGUCUCCGUGAAGACCUCUCCCUCCUCAGAUCCUGGCCCCUGUGGGGCAUCUAGCAGGCUGGGGACACACAGAGCAGCCCAGCCCAGGCCUCCUGCAGGGAGGACAGUCCCCAGAGCCAAGCAAGAGAGGUCCAGGCCCAGCGCACAAGUGUCGUGCCAACCUCUGCCCACAGCAGCUUAGGAGCAGCCCAUUGGCCAAGUGCAUCCGAGGCCGGCCCAGAGCCCAGAGGUGGAGACCAGGACUUGCCUCUUGAUGUAGGAGGUAAAGUCACCUUGCAGCGGGGCCAGGAUACCGGGAGAGGAGGGAACGGGGCUGUUCCUACCAGCUUUCUCCGAGCCAGCUUUCUGACGGUUGACUGACGGCUGAGGGGUUCAAGAAGGAGGACACGGGCACAGGGACUCAGGGGCAGUGAGGGG